rnacentral:rRNA from 1 species
UACGGGGGGGGCAAGCGUUGUUCGGAAUUACUGGGCGUAAAGGGCUCGUAGGCGGCCCUCUCAGUCGGAUGUGAAAUCCCCAGGCUCAACUUGGGAACGGCAUCCGAUACUGGAGGGCUUGAAUUCGGGAGAGGGAUGCAGAAUUCCAGGUGUAGCGGUGAAAUGCGUAGAUAUCUGGAGGAACACCUAUAGCGAAGGCAGCUCGCUGGUACGACACUGACGCUAAGGCGCGAAAGCGUGGGGAGCGAACAGG